GAUGAACGCUAGCUACAGGCUUAACACAUGCAAGUCGCGGGGCAGCAUGGGGGUUGCUUGCAACCCCUGAUGGCGACCGGCGCACGGGUGAGUAACGCGUAUCCAACCUGCCCUUCACCACGGGAUAACCCGGCGAAAGUCGGACUAAUACCGUAUGUUGUCCAUUGACGGCAUCCGAUUUGGACGAAAGGCUUAGCGGUGAGGGAUGGGGAUGCGUCCGAUUAGCUUGACGGCGGGGUAACGGCCCACCGUGGCAACGAUCGGUAGGGGUUCUGAGAGGAAGGUCCCCCACACUGGAACUGAGACACGGUCCAGACUCCUACGGGAGGCAGCAGUGAGGAAUAUUGGUCAAUGGGCGGAAGCCUGAACCAGCCAAGUAGCGUGCAGGAUGACGGCCCUAUGGGUUGUAAACUGCUUUUAUGGGGGGAUAAAGGGACCCACGUGUGGGUUUUUGCAGGUAC
rnacentral:rRNA from 1 species